ensembl:snRNA U1 U1 spliceosomal RNA
AUACUUACCUGGCAAGGGAGACACCGUGAUCACCAAGGCGGUUCACCCAGGGCGAGGCUCGGCCAUUGCACUGCGGCUGUGCUGACCCCUGCGAAUUUCCCAAAUGUGGAAAUCUCGAUUGCAUAAUUUCUGUUAGUGGGGGACUGCGUUCGCGCUCUCCCCUG